rnacentral:lncRNA from 1 species
CAGAAAGCCGCGCCGGCCCCAGUCCCCAUGGGCUGAAGGCAGGUUGAGUUCUUCCCCAGGUCUGCGAGCCUCGAAGGCUUCUUUCAGACAGCAGACCCCUUAGAAGCGCAAGGCUGCUUUCUGACAAAGAAUCAAGUGUUCCUUUCAACCAGCCAAGGGACUGGUUUUCUCGCUGACCCUUUGACAGCUCCAGCCGGUCCCUCCAUUCGAGGUCCCUGACUUCCUGCAACAGACUGAGAUGGCCUUCUGAGCUUUUCCAGGGCUGACGACCACCUUCUUGAUACCUUCCCCUCUCUCGUUCUGAAUCCGUGCCCACCAGAUGGGGCCGUCUAGUUGCAGGAAAACAAGCUCAGGGCUCCCACUGAUUCUACAUGAUGGGAAUCCAGGCUUUCGGAGAUGAGGACUGGGAGGUCUCCAGACCACACAAGCCCCCUAUUUGCACUGGCCUUUGGAAUGAGCCUACAGCCUGCCUCCACUCCUCCUGGUACCCCAGCUGUUCUCAAGGAAUUGGCCAGAAGUCAGACUCCUUUCCCAGCUGUCCUCCACUUCUUUCCUGCCAGGCACCCUAGGCCCCAUGGUGGGAUUGGGCCUAUAGGCUGUGAUUUUCCACAUCCUUGUCAAACCUGUACUACCUGAAUGCCUAGAGGAAAAGAUACUGCCUUAAUUACUAUUAUGAGCACGAAUGCCUUCUUACUCUUGAAUUUAGCUGAGUGCUGCCUGCAGGUAAAGUCACCUGGAGAACCAUCCAGGGACUUUGUCCUCAUAGGAUCACUUGUACCUCUCUAGGGUUGCUGUGGCAGCUGCCAGAGUGGCCCGGGCCAUGGAUGAGGGCCAGGAUAUGGAAAGCAGAGGCAGAAAUGAGCCCAGAGGCCACAGGGCCCAGCUCUCAGGCUCCCACGGUGAAGCCCAGAGGGUUCCUUCUCUCUCCUGCUUCAGGCUGACAAUGUUUGUCAGCCUCUGCUCCCAACCCCUAUACCCAGCAACCUCUGCGCCCAAGCACAUGGUCUGAAGAAUAUUCUGGUGUUGGGCCCCUGUAGGUGGCCUGCCGUGACGGUGGAAGCCUGGAACGUAGUGACAUGGAUUCAUCAUUGGGAUGUUUCAUCCUAAGGAAACGCACUCGCAGGUGGCUGUAGACCUUGGGGACUCCAGCCUCGUUCAUUUAAGCUCCCACAAUGUUCCAGGCCCUAUGCGGCUUGCAAGGGGCAGAGAGACACAGAAUGACAGCCGACAUGGCACUCUAUUGGUGCACUGGCACUGUUUUUUUUUUUGAGAUGGAGUCUUGCUCUGUCACCCAGGCUGGAGU